rnacentral:rRNA from 1 species
UACGGAGGGAGCUAGCGUUGUUCGGAAUUACUGGGCGUAAAGCGCACGUAGGCGGCUUUGUAAGUUAGAGGUGAAAUCCUGGAGCUCAACUCCAGAACUGCCUUCGAUACUGAGAGUCUUGAGUCCGGGAGAGGUGAGUGGAACUGCGAGUGUAGAGGUGAAAUUCGUAGAUAUUCGCAAGAACACCAGUGGCGAAGGCGGCUCACUGGCCCGGUACUGACGCUGAGGUGCGAAAGCGUGGGGAGCAAACAGG